rnacentral:rRNA from 1 species
GACGAACGCUGGCGGCGUGCUUAACACAUGCAAGUCGAGCGGUAAGGCCCUUUCGGGGGUACACGAGCGGCGAACGGGUGAGUAACACGUGGGUGACCUGCCCUCAGCUCUGGGAUAAGCCUGGGAAACUGGGUCUAAUACUGGGAUAUGACUCCACGGUGCAUGUCGUGGGGUGGAAAGCCUUGUGCGGCUGAGGAUGGGCCCGCGGCCUAUCAGCUUGUUGGUGGGGUGANGGGCCUACCAAGGCGACGACGGGUAGCCGGCCUGAGAGGCGACCGGCCACACUGGGACUGAGACACGGCCCAGACUCCUACGGGAGGCAGCAGUGGGGAAUCUUGCGCAAUGGGCGAAAGCCUGACGCAGCGACGCCGCGUGAGGGAUGACGGCCUC